rnacentral:rRNA from 1 species
GAUGAACGCUGGCGGCGUGCCUAAUACAUGCAAGUCGAGCGAACGGACGAGAAGCUUGCUUCUCUGAUGUUAGCGGCGGACGGGUGAGUAACACGUGGAUAACCUACCUAUAAGACUGGGAUAACUUCGGGAAACCGGAGCUAAUACCGGAUAAUAUUUUGAACCGCAUGGUUCAAAAGUAAAAGACGGUCUUGCUGUCACUUAUAGAUGGAUCCGCGCUGCAUUAGCUAGUUGGUAAGGUAACGGCUUACCAAGGCAACGAUGCAUAGCCGACCUGAGAGGGUGAUCGGCCACACUGGAACUGAGCCACGGUCCAGACUACUACGGGAGGCAGCAGUCGGGAAUCUUCCGCAAUGGGCGAAAGCCUGACGGAGCAACGCCGCGUGAGUGAUGAAGGUCUUCGGAUCGUAAAACUCUGUUAUUAGGGAAGAACAUAUGUGUAAGUAACUGUGCACAUCUUGACGGUACCUAAUCAGAAAGCCACGGCUAACUACGUG